GGAAACAAAUGGGAACUUUUGCACAGGCAUUUGUUAAACAUGAAGAAAAGGAGAGCAAAGAGAGGGUGGAGAAAUGGAGAGAUGCUUUGACACAAGCGGGCAACCUUCGCGGAUGGCAUUUAAAGGAUUAUUGAUUUUUGAGAAGUUGAAGUACAUCAACUUGACCUACUCUUGGGACCUGAUUACAACCCCAGACUUCACUGGAGUCCCAAAUCUUGAGAAAUUAAUUCUUGAAAGUUGUGGUAAUCUAUGCAAGCUUCACCCAUCCAUUGGAAUUCUUAAAAAACUUAUUUUUCUUAAUCUAUGAGGUUGCAAAAGACUAAAUUGUUUACCGAGCAAGUUUGGAAUGGAGCCUAUUGUGGGAAACUUGGAAUGCUUACAAAAGCUUGUUUUGGAUGACACUGCUGUUAUGGAACUACCUUCAUCAGUUGGAGGCAUGAUUGGCCUGACUUCAUUGACUCUAAGGAAUUGCAAAAAUCUUGUGUGUCUACCUAGCGCCAUUUGUAGUUUGAAAUCACUUGAAUCGCUGGAUCUUUCUGGAUGCUCAAAAUUUGAUAACUUGCCAGAGAACUUAGGGAAUAUCGAAGGUUUGAAGAAGCUUUAUUUGAGUGGAACAAUUAUAAAAGAGUUGCCCUCAUCAAUUGAACAUUUGACAAACCUUACUUCAUUGACUCUGCAUGAUUGCUAUAAACUUGUGUGUCUUCAUAACACCACUCGUGGUUUGAAGUUGUGUGGUUCUCUUAAUCUUUCUUCAUGCUCAGCAUUUAAAAACUUGCCAAAGAAUCCAAGGAUAAUUGAAGGUCUAGAGAUGCUUGAUUUGAGUAGAACAGCUAUAGAAGAUUUGCCUUUAUCAAUUGAACGUUUGACAAGACUUACUUUAUUAAGUCUCAAAGAUUGUAAAACCCUUGUGUGUCUUCCUAGCACCAUUUGUAGUUUGGAAUCACUUGAAUCUCUAGAUCUUUCUAGUUGCUCUAAAUUUGACAAAUUGCCAGAGAGCCUAGGGAAUGUCAAAGGUUUGAAGGAGCUUGAUUUGAGUGGAACAGCUAUUACAGAGUUGCCUUCAUCAAUUGAACAUUUGACAAGCCUUACUUUAUUAAGUCUCAAAGAUUGUAAGACUCUUGUGUGUCUUCCUAGCACCAUUUGUAGUUUGAAAUCGCUUGAAUCUCUGGAUCUUUCUAGAUGCUCUAAAUUUGACAACUUGCCUAAGAACCUAGGGAAUGUUGAAGGUUUGAAGAAGCUUGAUUUGAGUGGAACAGCUAUUACAGAGUUGCCUUCAUCAACUGAACGUUUGACAAGUCUUACUUCAUUGACUCUACAUGAUUGCAAUAAUCUUGAGUGUCUUCCUAACACCACUUGUGGUUUGAAGUUGUGUGGUGCUCUUGAUCUUUCUGGAUGCUCUAGAUUCAAAAACUUGUCAGAGAACCUAUGGAUAAUUGAAGAUAUAAAGAUGCUUAAUUUGAGUGGAGAAGCCAUAGAAGAGUUGCCUUCAUCAAUUGAACGUUUGACUAACCUUACUAAAUUGACUCUAAGAUAUUGCAUAAAUCUUGUGUGCCUUCCUAGCACCAUUUGUAGUCUGAAGUUGCUUAAUUCUCUUGAUCUUUUUGGAUGCUCAAAUUUUAACAACUUGCCAGAGAACAUAGGAAAUAUAAUAGGUUUGGAGGUGCUUAAUUUGUGUUGGACAGCCAUGAAAGAGUUUCCUUCUUCAAUUGUUCUCCUUAAAAAUCUCAAACAGCUACAUAUCUGUGGAUGGAAGUUAUCUGAAUUUUAUUCCCAGCCAGCAAGUCUUGAGUUGAUGGACCCAUUACGGACUUCAUUAUUUUUUCUACCAACAAGUCUGCAAUCUUUAACAUAUUUGUAUCUUAGUGACUGCAAUCUUUCAUCAAUCCCCAAUGACAUUGGUUGCUUGUCCUCUUUAGAAUACUUAGAUCUAAGUGGAAAUAAUUUUGAUUCCCUUCCCGAGAGCAUGUCUCAACUCUAUAAUCUUUUAAGACUCUAUUUGGAGGGUUGCAAGAGGCUUCAAUCAUUGGAAAAUGUUCCGUUGACUAUUGAUUUUGUAAUUGCAAAUGACUGUACCUUACUAGGGAGAUUUCCAGAACUGCAAUUUUAUCCUUUUAGGUCAGAUCACUCGCAUUUGACUUUCCAGUGUCUCAACUGCAUCAAAUUGGUUGACCAUAUUCAAAGCAAUAGUAACAUGCUUCAGGGACAAAGUGGUAGACUACCAGGCAUGUUAGAAAUUAUUAUUCCUGGAAGAGAAAUUCCGAAAUGGUUUAACCAUGAAUGUACGGGUCACGAAUUGAACAUUCAAGUUCCUUCUUGUGGAUGUGAUGAUCUGAUCAGAAUUGCAUUGUGCAUUGUUUUUGAACCCAACGGGUGUUAUCAACACCCUAAAGAGUAUCAGUUUUCAUGUUCAUUCAAUGAAAUUGAAGAAUAUGAUCUAUAUAACUCUAUACUUAGUAAAAACUGUGGUAUAAUUGUAUCACAUCACCUUUGGCUGCUCUAUUUGUCCAAUAACUAUGUGUCUCGCUAUAUGAACUCCAGUUGGGGAAGAAUAUUUAGUCAAAUUGAUGCAAAUGGAUUUCGUCAACUUAAGAUUAAAGUAGAAAGCUGGAGCUUGAAGGUGGAGAAAAUUGGGGCCUGUUUGGUAUACGAGCAAGACAUGGAAGAUCCCAAUCAAACUAUGGCACAGUGUAGCAACAACAGCAGGAAGCUCUCUGAGGAUCUGGGUGUUCUCCAACACGAUCUUUAUGUUUCAGCUGCAGAAAGUAUCAGAGAAAAGCGAAACCAUGAUGAGGGUGACAGGGCUGGACCUAGUGGAGAAUGCUACAAUAUUGAGGAACCACAACCAAGGAGGAUUCAAACACUUGAAGGAUUCUUGGCUGAUUUUGAAGGAUCUAGUGAAAAUGACCUGGAAGGCUAAGCAUUCAGGGUGGUUUCACCAAGAAAUCCUCAAUCUGCAGCAAACUAUGUUUGUGACUUGCUGGAUGAUAAUACAAAGACUUGGAGAAAGGAUGUUCAGGACAGGUUUUAUAUACCACAAGAAGCUGUUGUCAUUGAAAGCAUUCCGUGAAAUUCUCAGCAUUCUGAUGACAGUAUCUUUUGGGUGAAGCAAAAACUGGAGAUUUUUCAGUUCAGAGUGCAUAUGAUUAGUUGGACCACAAGGCACUGUUAGGUUUAGGAGAGGCUUCAAACAAUCACAGCUCAACAAUUAUGUGGCGGCCACUGUGGAAGGCUCUGGUUCCUAACAAGAUCAAAGUUUUUCAUGGCAUACUCUUCAGUUUGUCCUGCCAACAAAGCCUUGUCUAUUUUCCAAGUGCAUCAUCGCUUCAGUAACUUGUGAGCAGUGUAAUGAAGUUCCUGAAACCAGUUUACAUGCUUUGUGGUCUUGCCCAGACACCAAGAAGGUAUGGCAAUUAGUUGAAUGCAUAAACUUUAUCCCACACCAGCCUUAUCAGAACUGGACUGAUCUAUUCUCCUGGAUGCUGCACCAUAUGAAUACAUUCUCGCUGAAACUAUUUCCCACUCUCUCAUGGCAACCAUGGCUGCGCAGAAAUGGAGAGAUUUGGGGAACCAGGAAUACAGCCAACCAGUUUGGUAUAUAUAGGUAAGGAGAUGCAUGAACACUGGUGACUGGACUGCAAAAUUUUCAUCUGAGAUACUGCAGAAAGUACAUCUUCUAAUAUGGAAGCCCCCUCAGUUAACUUACUCCAAGGUAUAUGUUGCUGUAAAUGUUGUAGUGAUUAGAGAUCUCAAUGUGAAUUUUGUUGCAGCUAAGGUUGAGGUGAUUGUGGGCCAAUACCGUCUGGAGGCUCAUUUUGCAGGAUUCCGGCAUGCCCUACAAUUGUUUAACCAGCAGGGAAUUCAGGAGGUUGAACUUGAGAGCCACUUAAGUAUUGCCAAUUUGCCAUUGCUGCUUUUAACAUGGAUUCCCCCAAAAAUAAGUGACCUGAAAUGCUCUGUUCAACAAAGUGAAACUAGCAAUAUCUAAUUUCAGAUGCUGUGAGUUUAAUUUUGUGGACAAAAGCUGUAAUAAUGGUCCUCUAGUUUUAGCAGAUCUUGGAUGUAAAAAUUGCGCCACUAAGAUUUGGCUACUUGAUAAUUUUGUGAAAGGCAAUACAAAUCCUGCCGCUUUUAUUUUAAGAAAAAUACACACCUGCAUACCACAGUUACCACUUGAUAA